UAUUAAAAAUUGCAUUAAUUUGUAUUGUUAAAAAUUGAUGUGACAGACAAUAUAACCAGACAGUGCCAAGUGUACCUCAUGUUAUGCUCAUGUUAUGUACAAUGAUCAGUUUUUAACAAUAGAAAUGGCUGAAAUUUUUAAUA
rfam:Gossypium raimondii Chr06_contig_25, whole genome shotgun sequence.